rnacentral:rRNA from 1 species
UACGUAGGGUGCGAGCGUUAAUCGGAAUUACUGGGCGUAAAGCGUGCGCAGGCGGUUGUGCAAGACCGAUGUGAAAUCCCCGGGCUCAACCUGGGAAUUGCGUUGGAGACUGCAAGGCUGGAGUCUGGCAGAGGGGGGUAGAAUUCCACGUGUAGCAGUGAAAUGCGUAGAGAUGUGGAGGAACACCGAUGGCGAAGGCAGCCCCCUGGGUCAAGACUGACGCUCAUGCACGAAAGCGUGGGGAGCAAACAGG